rnacentral:rRNA from 1 species
GUCCGCAAGGACAAUUUGACAAUUUGACCUCAAAUCAGGUACGAAUGGAACCCCCAUGU